ACUUCCUCUUCCACCGCUUCUUUUGCCUCAAAGACUGACCUCCAUUCACUCACCCAAAGGUCAAAAUCUACACUUUUCCAAUAGCUUCAGAGAGAUUGCUGUGAAACCCACCGACCUCGAAUUGAAUUCCUUGGUUACUUGCAGCUAUCUCUAGUGGUUGGAAUUGCUGAUUAUCGAGUGGGUAUUAGCAUUUUGAUUUGGGUUGCCGCUUGUAGCAGUGGAUUGGGGUUUUGUUAGCCGCUGAACUAAGGCUUGAGAUCGUAUUCAGGACUCGAGUCUUUCAUUGCAAUGUUGAUUCUUCUGGUAAUGUAAGUUUGGAAAUCGUAAAGGAUGGUUGGAGUCCAGCACUAACGAUUACAAAGGUGCUACUAGCAAUUCGGUCCAUUUUCACAAAACCUGAUCCUUGUAAGUUCUUCUAUUAUACUUUGAGCUUUCUUUGUGGUAUUGUUUGUAUGCAUGUUCUUGUUCUUGGUCUUUGUAUAGCAAUAGUUUACUUGUAGGACUAAAUGUUAGUAUUUUGAAGGAACUCAUACUGGUGUUAAACAUCAUCAAAGAAGAAAGCAGCACUCAAUUAUUUUUUUUUGUUUCCUGACUUGAUCAUUGGUUUAAGAUAAAAUAUAUUCCCCAAUAUCAAACUCGUUUAGCACCAACUCCAAAUGAUCUGUUGCUCGUACUAAGAUAAAACAUGCACGGUUUAGGCUUUAAAAUAUGGUGAUUAGUAAGAGAUAAUGGUCACUGGAAGAAAUAUUUACCAGAUUUUCUCAAUAUCUUUAUAGUUUUGUAAUGCUCUGAGCAUAGUAUGGUGUUCAGUGUUCCUUUUAAUAUAAUAUCUGGUGCAAACAAAUUGCAGUGCCAACAAGUGCUUAAAGAGCUAGAAGCAAGUAUCGGUCAAUCUUGCUGGGGGUUUCUAUAUAGUCAUAAUUGCACUUACUUUUGAUUAGUAUAUAUUUGUUGGAUUUGAUCAUCUGCUACAAGCUUGGCCAAGUGGUUGAGACUUGCUGUGAAUAUAUGGGGACAACAUCAUUGCUGGUAAUAAGGCGGAAGUCUGGGGCACGAGUUCUUGUUGUUGUUGUGGACUAGUGAGCUCACUCUCUCUUUUGAAGGCGAGGUUUAUGUGUUUUUUGCUGUUAUGCCCCAGAAGGUCACUCUGUUUCUUUCUUCCUUGUAUAUUAUAAAUUGUUUAAUUCUAAAAUGCUUGUAUAUUAUGUACAUAGUAAGGCAUGCAUUAUCCCUUUUGUUUUCAUUGCAUUUGUUAAUUGUGUCAGGAACUAUAUGGUGGAAUGUUGCAUAAAGAGUCUUUGGGAGAUCAAGCGUGGAGUACCAAGCAAUGCAGCAAGCUAUAUUUUCUUUCAACAUGUAAAACUUAACUAGGAAACUUAAAUGCUUUUUAGUCUAUGAGAUGUAUGAAUGCUUUAGCAAUGUUCCUUAAAUUCAAUAUUUGAUGAAUUGAUGUAUCACAAUGAUUUUGGUACAAAUGUUGAUCAUUUGAUGGUUUGCAUUCAAUUUGUAUUCCAA